AUACUUACCUGGCGUAGGGGAUACGUGAUCAUUCAGGCUGUUCUUCCAGGGUGUGGCUGCUCCUUUGUACUGCGGAGUGGUUGACCCUUGCGAUUUUUUUUUUAUCAAUAAAAAAAUCAUAAUAAAAU
rnacentral:snRNA from 9 species